GCCAGAAGAGAAGACUCAACUCUUUGCAGAAAACAGAAACUGCCUUUGAGUAGAGAAGGGCUGAGAAGGAAGAUGCUAAGGAUAUUCUGAGGGGUGAUCAGAAGAUUCCUUGAGUGCAGGGGGGCAGGCAAGGGGUAGAAAGAAACUGUUGUCACAGAGUCAUAAAAUUCUAAGCCACUGCAAUCUCCAGGCUGGACUUGAUUUUGUGACAGUGUCUCCUUUUUGUGGGCUGUAGUGUAGUGACAAGUUCUUUUGCUGUUUUUCCACUCCGUGCCUUUGCUGAAAGUCUGCCGCACUGGCACAUGAAGUGGAAACUCCCUCUUUGAAUGCAGCAGCAUUGGAUAAUUGUGGAUGUUCUGUGGCGCCGCACCACGACUUGAUCACCAGUUGUUUCUUCAGGGCAAGGGUCUCACUCUGUCACCCAGGCUGGAGUAGAGUGGUACAAUCACAGCUCACUGCAGCCUCAAACUCCCAGGCUCAAGUAUCCUCCUACCUCAGCCUCCCAAGUAGCUGUAACUACAGUGACUGAUCAGGCUUUUGUCACACUGGCCACAGAUGACAUCUACUGCCAGGGCGCCCUGGUCCUGGGGCAGUCACUGAGGAGACACAGGCUGACGAGGAAGCUGGUGGUGUUGAUCACUCCUCAGGUGUCCAGCCUGCUCAGGGUCUUACCGUGUUGCUUAGGCUGGAGUGCAGCGGCACCGUCAGGGCUCACAGCAGUCUUGACCUCCCAGGCUCAAGUCAUCCUCUUGCCUCAGCCCCGCUAGUACCUGGGAUGACAGACUUGCACGACCAUGCACAGGGAACACGCAGCCUUAUUGCCACGUACCUGUCCUGGGGCACCUUGCCGCCUGCCAGCUGGACCACAGGAGGGAACACGUCCAUCAGGCUCGUGGGCUCUCCAAUCACUCAGCCAGCCAGGAGCACCCUGGGCCAGUGGAAAA
rnacentral:lncRNA from 10 species